UCCCUACGGGAGGCAGCAGUAGGGAAUCUUCCACAAUGGACGAAAGUCUGAUGGAGCAACGCCGCGUGAGUGAAGAAGGGUUUCGGCUCGUAAAGCUCUGUUGGUAGUGAAGAAAGAUAGAGGUAGUAACUGGCCUUUAUUUGACGGUAAUUACUUAGAAAGUCACGGCUAACUACGUGCCAGCAGCCGCGGUAAUACGUAGGUGGCAAGCGUUGUCCGGAUUUAUUGGGCGUAAAGCGAGUGCAGGCGGUUCCAUAAGUCUGCUGUUGAAUCCUUCGGCUCCACCGGAGGAUU
rnacentral:rRNA from 1 species